rnacentral:tRNA from 1 species
GCGCUCGUAGCGCAGCUGGAUAGCGUGUCAGACUCCGACUCUGAAGGCCGUGGGUUCGAAUCCCGCCGGGCGCACCA